rnacentral:tRNA from 1 species
GGGCCGUUAGCACAGUGGCAAUGCACCCGGUUUGCAUCCGGGAGACGGGAGUUCGAUUCUCCCACGGUCCA